GUGAGCAAACACUCAAGGCAAGCGGUGACUGGAGGAGGAGCCAUGCCCCACAGCGAGUCUGGGCCCUCUCAACUCAGGAUCCCAGGACCAGGCAGAAAACCAGCAAGGCAGCAGCAGAGAAAACCAGGCGUGUGCAGGCCUGCCGCACUUCACUGAGCUUUGCUUUCUGACUUUCCAGAGACUGCAUUUCUUACAAAGGGAAGGUUUGUGGCAACCUUCUGCGUCAGCGCUAUUUUUCCAACCGCAGGCCUUCGCUUUGUGUCUCUGUGUCACAUUUGGACCUCGUUCCUUGGCAGACAGACUUUGCAAUCCCAGGGACUCUGAGUUUCACGCAUCGCCAUUAGCACCACAGAAUUCAUCUGGAGGCUGGGGAGAGAUGCCCGGGAGUCCUCCAAACAUUUGAAGCUUCUCCAGCUUCGCUUGUCUGUUUCUUACUUGGUCUGUGCUCAUUCCGCCUCACUUUGUAUUUGCUAGAUGAAGGGGAUAAUGAUUAUGACUGUUUCCGUAAGCAAGAGCAAGGGAGGCAAUUAGUUCAAUAAAUGUUAAUUAAGUGCUAACUAUAUGCAGCUACUGUGAGAGGUGCUGGAAAUACAAGAUCAGGAAAAGAACCCCUGUCCAGAAGAAGUUCACAAAAAUCUCUUAACUCUUUGCAUCCCAACAACAAGGUAACUUUCUGGCCAUUACAGAAUGUCACAUUUGAAUUUC